UUGUUGACUUUUAAAAAAUUAGAAUAUAAACAUGAUAUAAAUAUUAUUAAAUAAAAUAUAAUAUUAUUAAUAUAUUAAUGUAUUUUUAUUAUACAUAAAAUAUUAUUUUUAAUAAAAUAUUAUUAUAUUACUUGUACUAAUAGAAGUUAGUAAAAUUUUUAUUGAUAGUUUAUAUAUUUUUAAAAAAUAAAUUACCAACUAUAUAUAUUUUAUUUAUAUUGUCAAAAAUAAUUAUAUGUAAUCAUCAAAAAGAUAAAAUAAUUUUCAUCUUACACUAUAUAUACAAAGAAAAAAUAAAAUAAAAAUAUGUAUAUAUAUUUUUUAGUUGUAUGCGCUAUGGAUCAACAUCGAACGCACGUUUAAGAAAUGUCCAUAGCAGACACGUGUCCAAUACGGACACGCACGCACGUAUCCAACACGAAUGCGCGAGACUUAGAAAAGUGUAUGAUAUACAUAGUUAA
rnacentral:lncRNA from 1 species